rnacentral:rRNA from 1 species
AGAGUUUGAUCCUGGCUCAGGAUGAACGCUGGCGGCGUGCCUAAUACAUGCAAGUCGAACGCACCAUUUCGGUGGUGAGUGGCGAACGGGUGAGUAACACGUAGGUAACCUGCCCUUAAGACGAGGAUAACCAAGGGAAACUUUGGCUAAAACUGGAUAGGAACAUCGAAGGCAUCUUUGAUGUUUUAAAAGACCUAGCAAUAGGUAUGCUUAAGGAGGGGCCUGCGGCGCAUUAGUUAGUUGGUGAGGUGAAGGCUCACCAAGACGAUGAUGCGUAGCCGGACUGAGAGGUUGAACGGCCACAUUGGGACUGAGAAACGGCCCAAACUCCUACGGGAGGCAGCAGUAGGGAAUUUUCGGCAAUGGGGGAAACCCUGACCGAGCAACGCCGCGUGAAUGACGAAGUACUUCGGUAUGUAAAGUUCUUUUAUCAGGGAAGAAUGGCUAGCGGAAAAGCUAGAUUGACGGUACUUGAUGAAUAAGCCCCGGCUAACUAUGUGCCAGCAGCCGCGGUAAUACAUAGGGGGCAAGCGUUAUCCGGAAUUAUUGGGCGUAAAGGGUGCGUAGGUGGUUGAUUAAGUCUUUGGUAUAAGUGCAGUGCUUAACGCUGUGACGCUAAAGAAACUAGUCGACUUGAGUGUAGUAGAGGCAAGUGGAAUUCCAUGUGUAGCGGUAAAAUGCGUAAAUAUAUGGAGGAACACCGGUGGCGAAGGCGGCUUGCUGGGCUAUAACUGACACUGAGGCACGAAAGCGUGGGGAGCAAACAGGAUUAGAUACCCUGGUAGUCCACGCCGUAAACGAUGAGUACUAAGUGUAGGGGAAACUCUGUGCUGUAGCUAACGCAAUAAGUACUCCGCCUGAGUAGUACGUACGCAAGUAUGAAACUCAAAGGAAUUGACGGGACCCCGCACAAGCGGUGGAUCAUGUUGUUUAAUUCGAUGAUACGCGAAGAACCUUACCAGGUCUUGACAUCCCAUGCAAAGCUAUAGAGAUAUAGUGGAGGUUAUCAUGGAGACAGGUGGUGCAUGGUUGUCGUCAGCUCGUGUCGUGAGAUGUUGGGUUAAGUCCCGCAACGAGCGCAACCCUUAUUGCUAGUUACCAUCAUUAAGUUGGGGACUCUAGCGAGACUGCCAGUGAUAAACUGGAGGAAGGUGGGGAUGACGUCAAAUCAUCAUGCCCCUUAUGACCUGGGCUACAAACGUGAUACAAUGGCUGAAACAAAGGGCAGCGAAGCAGUGAUGUGAAGCGAAACCCAAAAAAGCAGUCUCAGUUCGGAUUGAAGUCUGCAACUCGACUUCAUGAAGUCGGAAUCGCUAGUAAUCGCGAAUCAGAACGUCGCGGUGAAUACGUUCUCGGGGUUUGUACACACCGCCCGUCAAACCACGAAAGUUUAUAAUACCCAAAGCCGGUGGCCUAACCGCAAGGAGGGAGCCGUCUAAGGUAGGAUCAAUGAUUGGGGUUAAGUCGUAACAAGGUAACC